CCGGCCUUGGGGCGCUGUCCCGGGCGUUCGCUCUCUCGCCCCGCCACCCUGGCUGCUUGGCGCCGGCAGCGAGUUAGGAGGCUUCGGGGGCAGGUGGCGGACCGGCGGCCUGGGAAGAGGCGAGAGGGCGGGAAGAGCCGCGGGCGCCUCGGCCGCCUCAGGCGCGCACGCCCGCAGCUAUCGCUCGCUCGUCGCGGAGCUUGAAGCCGUGCGCGAGGCGCGGUGAGGUGACGACCUGACCCCGACCAGCAGAGACGGCUCUGGGGCCGACGGCUGGGAGCGCACGGUGCGAGAGCAGAGGGCCGAGCUCAGCACCCGGAAGUAGCCGCGGCGGGCGAGUGCCGCAGGUUGCCUGCGGGCAGUGCGCACUGGCGACCUCCUGAGCGUAAAGGUGGGCCCCGGGCGAACGCGUCCAGGGACGUGCAAAGGAAAGCGAAAGCCUUCGCAGCCACCAGAAGGCCCAGCGUGCGGCAAUUCGUUCUGGUGGAACCCAACGUUGUCUUCAGCCGGCAAUCUUACACUCGUGUCAGUCUCCAUUACAAGUCACUACACAAAGGACCCCCCUCCAAGAAUUCGGGCCAGUACCUAUGACCGGGACAUUUUUUGUUAAUAGGUAACAGCAGGAAAGAGCAGCACGCUGUGUCUCACUUGGGCUCUGUCCUCUAAGCAUAAACCUGGGGUGCCCCAAAAUAGAGCCCAGAUUUCCAGAAGGAUAGUGGCUGUGGAAACAUCUGAUUUUCUGAAAAGCACAAAUCUAUGGAAAGACAAGCGGAACAGCAUGCCUUAACCUUCUCGCUUAGAAAAGGGCUGCAGGUUGAAAUGUCGAUAGUAGCAGAGUCGAAAACAGUGCGGAGCAUGUAGAAGGGACCUUGGAUUCGGAAGACAGUGAACCAGGCCAGUGUGGAAGCGGGUUUGUGUCCCCAAAGGCUGCGGCGGCCACUGGAAUCCAUCUGCCCGUGGGUCAGUGGCCGCCCGCAGCUCUGAGAGGACCUCUGGGAACACUCCUGAAAGGCUGCGGGCGGGGAGGCGCACAGGGCGUCAUUGCAAAUGUCCAGCAGAACCUCAGUGUUUGCUGUUUCAAGUAGUUUUAAUAAAUCUGUUUCACUCACAUCAACACCCUUCCUUCGCAAUGAGUUCUAAAGUUUGUGUUCUGAACUUUGCGUUCCCAUGGCCACAUGCUCCUGAGCGAGUCUGCGGGCAUCAGGUACGUUCUCAGGUACGUCUGUGACCAAGAGCACUCGGGCCAGAGCUCUGGGCUGCUGAGCCCAGGGCCUGGUGGCAGAGGUGUUUGGGUGGAAGUCGGCUGGUGCCCUCGGGUGACCACACUUUUCAGAUGGGCCGAGGGGUCCUGCCGGGAGCAGGUGCCGAGGUCGCCUUGAAGGGUGUGCUUGGGACCAGAGUUGUGUGUGGGAAGGCAAGGGCAGCCAUGAGAACCCCACGAAACAGGCCAGGGGAGAAGGGGGUGGGCCAGCUGGCAGUGGGAGGACACCUGAGUUUUGAUUUCUGCUGAAUGGACUGGGUGCCAGGGGCUGAGGAGGGGGGUGUGGUCAGAAGAGCCCGUCACGGGUCGUCACUCCAGCUUUUCCUGAGAAGUCAGAGGGAGCUGGUGGGGUGUCAUGAGGGAGUCUGGUGCCUUUUGCUGCAGGAAAAAGGGGCAGCUAACAUCAACGCAAGAGAAUGUCCAUGGUUGGUUUGGGGCAGAAAAAUUUGCCUCAGGAGUAGGGACGGGCUCAAAUUUGUCAAGAUCCAGUUCCAAGAAGAACAUUCUCGGGACUGAGAGCAGAUGCAACACAGGAGAGAGGUGGCCAAACUGAAGGACCUGCGUGACCCGAGGCGCCUGCUUGGCUGGGCUCUGGGGUGUGAUGCUCGGCCGAGCACACAGCACGGAACGUCUUCGGGAUUUACGGGGUCACAGCGGUCACGGUUACCUGCCCAGCGUCAGGCACACCCUUGUAUCCUCGGGGGACUAUCCCUCCUGUCCUCGGUGCCCAAGGCUGGGUAGAGCCAGCCAGAGCCAGUGCAGACCGCUGCAAGAGGAGGCCACCAGUGGGGACCUAGGCGGAGCCGGGGCACUUGACGGAACUGUGGGGAAGGUGGGAGGCCGCUUGCUGGGGCUGCUGAACCGAGACUGAGGGACACUGCGUGUCUGUCCAGAAGCCAGCAGACGGCCAGGCCGGAGGUGCAGGUCCUGUGCCGUCGGAGUGAGAGCCCCAGUGUGGGGCGUAACGGUUGACGCCUCCUUCCCAGGUCAUUUCUGCUUUGGCUUGCGCCAUGCUGGGUUGGGAGUCUGGAACUCGUGAUGUCCUAACCCAAGGGUAGACAUGGGGUAACAUCCCCUCGGGCUGCAGGAGGCACAACGCCUCGCAUCCCUGCAGGCCAAGCCCCCCCCACCAUUGGCUUCCUAGCCAGCGCCGGGCCGAGUGGACUUGGCUGGGGGGACCCUGGCGGGGCACAGGUGGCUGGGUGUUGUCACUGGGGCUCACUCCCCUGCUCCCACUGAACCCUCCCAGGCUUACAGUGCGGGCACCCGGCUGCUGCGUGGGACAAAGUGUGGCCUGGAGGCGUGGGCCACAUGCUGUCCCUACAGGCCUGUGCCCUUGGCAGGAGUCUGAGCUGCUUGUGGCCCCGAAGGCAGAAUGGUCUCUUGGCAAGGCCAAGGCUCGAAUGGCCAGCCUGUUGGUGGCGUGAGCCAUGGAGCCUGAGGUGCUCUGCGCAGGCCUGGGGCAGUGGUUUUGAGCGGUUCUCCAGGAGGGAGGACUGUGGCCCCAGGCAGGUACCCCGCCUCUGGGCUGGCCUGGUCCCCAGGUGGCCCCUUCCUGCCCAGUGAGGCAGGAGGCAGCUGGGGAACUUCCAGAGUCGCCAGGUGGGGGUCACUGAAGGAAAUUCAGUAGAAACAAGGUGAGCCGGAAGCAGUGAGUGCCUCUGGGAGAGAGCAUCCGGAAGUUUUUGCUGCUUGCCUCGCAGAGAGGUACCAGCAUCUCACCUGGUGGCUUGGGAUGAGGGGGGCUGACCAGGGGGAGCAGUUUUUGGAAACGGAGACAGGCGUCUGGGCUGUCGCACCUGGCCAGCUGCACCGCCCCCGCCACCUCCGGGCCAUACUGCAGUCACUGGUCUGGCGCGGGAUG